GAUGGUUUAAAAGUGUGUGGCAGUUUCUCCUUCACUCUUUCUCCCUGACACCAUGUGAAGAAGGUCCUUGGUUCCCGUUCACUUUCCAUCAUGAUUGUAAGUUUCCUGAGGCCUCCCUAACUGUGCAGAACUGCCUUUCUGUUCCCUGAGACACAACAAUAUUGAAAUUAGGCCAGUUAAUAACCUACAAUGGCUCUCCCUCUCCCUCUCCCUCUCCCUCUCCCCACGGUCUCCCUCUCCCUCUCUUUCCACGGUCUCCCUCUGAUGCCGAGCCGAAGCUGGACUGUACUGCCGCCAUCUCCGCUCACUGCAACCUCCCUGCCUGAUUCUCCUGCCUCAGCCUGCCGAGUGCCUGCGAUUGCAGGCGCGCGCCGCCACGCCUGACUGGUUUUCGUAUUUUUUUGGUGGAGACGGGGUUUCGCUGUGUUGGCCGGGCUGGUCUCCAGCUCCUAACCACGAGUGAUCUGCCAGCCUCGGCCUCCCGAGGUGCCGGGAUUGCAGACGGAGUCUCGUUCACUCAGUGCUCAAUGUUGCCCAGGCUGGAGUGCAGUGGCGUGAUCUCGGCUCGCUACAACCUCCACCUCUCAGCCGCCUGCCUUGGCCUCCCAAAGUGCCGAGAUUGCAGCCUCUGCCUGGCCGCCACCCCAUCUGGGAAGUGAAGAGCAUCUCUGCCUGGCCACCCAUCGUCUGGGGUGUGAGGAGCCCCUCUGCCCGGCUGCCCAGUCUGGGAAGUGAGGAGCGCCUCUUCCUGGCCGCCAUCUCGUCUAGGAAGUGAGGAGCGUCUCUGCCCAGCCGCCCAUCGUCUGAGAUGUGGGGAGCGCCUCUGCCCCGCCGCCCCGUCUGGGAUGUGAGGAGCACCUCUGCCCGGCGACGACCCUGUCUGGGAUGUGAGGAGCCCCUCCGCCGGGCAGCCGCCCCGUCUGAGAAGUGAGGAGCCCCUCCGCCCGGCAGCCGCCCCGUCUGAGAAGUGAGGAGCCCCUCCGCCCGGCAGCCGCCCCAUCUGAGAAGUGAGGAGCCCCUCCGCCCGGCAGCCGCCCGUCUGGGAAGUGAGGAGCGUCCCCACCCAGCCAGCCGCCCCGUCCGGGAGGUGGGGGGCGCCUCUGCCCGGCUGCCCCUUCUGGGAAGUGAGGAGCCCCUCUGCCCGGCCGCCACCCCGUCUGGGAGGUGUACCCAACAGCUCAUUGAGAACGGGCCAUGAUGACGAUGGCAGUUUUGUCGAAUAGAAAAGGGGGAAAUGCGGGGAAAAGAUAGAGAAAUCAGAUUGUUGCUGUGGCUGUGUAGAAAGAAGUAGACAUAGGAGACUCCAUUUUGUUCUGUACUAAGAAAAAAUCUUCUGCCUUGGGAUGCUGUUGAUCUAUGACCUUACCCCCAACCCAGUGCUCUCUGAAACAUGUGCUGUGUCCACUCAGGGUUAAAUGGAUUAAGGGCGGUGCAAGAUGUGCUUUGUUAAACAGAUGCUUGAAGGCAGCAUGCUCAUUAAGAGUCAUCACCACUCCCUAAUCUCAACUACCCGGGGACACAAACACUGCGGAAGGCCGCAGGGUCCUCUGCCUAGGAAAACCAGAGACCUUUGUUCACUUGUUUAUCUGCUGACCUUCCCUCCACUAUUGUCCUAUGACCCUGCCAAAUCCCUCUCUGCGAGAAACACCCAAGAAUGAUCAAUAAAAAAAUAAAUAAAAUAAAAUAAAAUAAAAUAAAAUAAUAAAAAA
rnacentral:lncRNA from 1 species